ensembl:lncRNA
GUGGGUUGAGAACCACUGGUCUAUUCGGUCCAUUGAUUUUCAUCUCUCUGGGACUCCGUGGUGUGCCACAGAAGUUUCAACUGAUAUGCCCCACUUGAUCCUACUUUACAGUUUGACAAUUUGAAGAAAGGGUUCUAUUUCUAAAGGCUUAAAUAUUUAGGACCACUGAUGGAAUCCAAUGAGUUUUCAGCCUUUCAUCUCUCUUCACCUGAAUUUAUUUGUCAGGUUAAUCAUUUGGCAAUAAUCUCAUGUGUGUGUGUGCUCAGUCAUGUCUGACUUUUUUGUUACCCCGUGGACUGUAGCCUGCCAGGCUCCUGCGUCCAUGAGAUUUUCCCAGCAAGAAUACUGGCAUGGGUUGCCAUUUCCUUCUCCAGGGGAUCUUCCUGACCCAGGGAUUGAACCUGUGUCUUCUGCAUCUCCUGAGUUGCAGGUGGGUUCUUUUAUAGUUGAGUCAUGGGGGAAGCCCCAUAAUCUCAUGAUGAGGCUGAAAUUGGUAAGAGCCAUCCCAGGCUGGACUCUCUAGAAAGAGAUUCAGAGCACUGUGCUCACUGGGCUCCACACCUGUGAAGGGGAGGAACCAGAAACAGAUCGGGCAGAGAAAGAAGCCUGCUGUGAUAUAGGCCCAAAAGGCCUAGGCCCAUAUCGCCAGGAAUGCUGAGACUGGUGUCCUUGGCAUCAUGCUCUGGUGGGCACCUGUUUCUGCCAAGGGUUGUAGGCUGUCAGGAAAGAGAGUGACCUUGGGGAGGAGAGUCUCUGCAGCUGAAGCAGACCCCAGAACAGCUUACACCUGGAGCAUCACUGCUGCUGACGUUCCUCCCACUGAACCCUCCCUUGUGGGAGAUGCUAGGCAGCGUAUCAGCGGAUCAACAGGACAGCGUUCAAGGUUUCUUAUUAAUCUGCUCACUGAAGCUUAUAACUUCUGGCUUCAGUUAUCAUUUCUAGUCAGAGGAUUUGAAAGAGCUCAACUGGAAUUCCAUCACCUCCGCUAGCUUUGUUCGUAGUGAUGCUUCCUGAGGCCCACUCGACUUCACAUUCCA